rnacentral:lncRNA from 1 species
UCUGGUCUCACCAGACCCUGUUUCUAUCUGAAUAUUGGUUAGUGUGGGAGUUACCACAUAUAUACCAACAGUUCUUGUUUCUAGAAAUUUUACGAAAUUUGGGGUAAUUUCUGUAUUUGGAAUUUCCCUGAGAAGCUGACAGAUUUUUCUGACAGGGAUCAAAGUUUUCCUGGGAAGGGAUUUUCCUCUCUCUGAUGAGGCACUGCAAACUCUAGAAUGUCUUAAGUGCCUACUUUCUAUAUUUGUUCACAGUUUGAGAUACUGUAAUACCUUCUUGAAAGACAAAAUAAUCAGCAUCUUUCACUAAAGGUGAUGGAUUCUAUGAAUCUAGAAUGUCUUAAGCCUAAUUAAAGUAACUGACCAUUCUAUCCCCCUUCAUAUACAUAAUACCCAUAGCAUGGAUUCAUAUAUUUCAGAGAAACCCUAUGAAAUAUGCUUUGAUGUCAUAUGUGGAACUCUACUUUCAUAUAUAUGUCAAAUUACCCUAAUCAGCUCCACAAAUUGUUUAAAAAAAUAAGGGAAAUAAAAUAAAUCUUAAAAAUAGAGAAAUUGAGGUAACUAUAUUAAGGAUACUAUAAACAAAAAUGUUUGUAUUUGUCUCUAUAUUAAUGUUCCUUUGAGAUGUAUCGAUUUCAGAUCUUGUUCACAUUUUUUAAAAUCACAGUAUUUCUCAGUAAGUCACACGAAAGUCUGGGGGGAUGGAGGCUGCUAUUAUUUUUUUUAAAGCUAUUUAUUUUUAAAAAAAAAAAAAAAAAAAAAAAGCAACAACAUAUCUGGUAUUCUUCUAUAUGAAAACUACUUUGUAGACAAUCUACACACAGAUCUUCAUUAAACACACACUCACACACACACACACAUCACGCUAAAACUGCUUAUUCAGUGACGCUGCUCACCAAAGGAAUUAUUCUUUGACUCUGUUUUUAGUUGGGCGUGGAAAGGUAAUUUUCCCUCUUGGCAGGAAGCUUGAAGGGGAGCCAAAGUGAACACCCAUGUGAACACAAAACAAUUAGGAAAGACUCAUUCUGAAUCAGUUGGUUCCCAUGAACAAGCUGGGAUUUAUUAAUCUGCCCUGAUUAAAAUUAAUUAAAACAUAGACUUGGGAGUGGGUAAACAAGUGAACAGGGAAAAAGACAGUCAGGGGCAACUAAAUAUUUAAAUAUUCUGAGAUCAUAAGAAUGAACAUUAAUAAGAAAUAUAAUUAG